GGGCGUUUAGCUCAGUUGGCUAGAGCGCGUGGUCGACAUCCACGAGGUCACAGGUUCAAGUCCUGUAACGCCCA
rnacentral:tRNA from 1 species